CCUUGUUGCUAAGGACCGGGCGGUUUGCGGCAACCGUGGGCACUGCUGAGUUUGAAUUGAGGGGCGAGGGAAAAGUUUUCCUCAGAAAUCCUCACCCAGAAGUCUCUGACCUUCUUGAGACUGGUGGAAAGAAAAACCCUGGGAUUCCACAAAAACUCAAGACCAAACCUACUGACUGGUGCCCUCUCUAAGAAACAAAAUUGUAAUUUUCCUUGAAGUGGACAGCCUGGAAUUCCUCUGCACACUCAGUCAUGUGGACAGAGAGACCGAGUUACUGCAACUUGCUUCUUAAUGUAUAUGAAUUUCUUAGUUAAUGCAACAGAAUCUACUGAGUAGCUUCCACAUAAAAAGAACUCUGUCUGGAACUGGAAAGGUGCCUUGGGAUUGGGGACGGAGCUCUUGAUUUCUGAAGCCAUGUUACUGAUGGCUACGAUGUCCCGUGCUAGCACUUUCCAGCCAGCGAUUGCUGUAUGUCAACCUGCCAAGGCUCUCAUUCCUGCACUCUGCCAACCUGCCUGGGUAUCCUCCUGUAAGACUUCUGAUGAGCAUUUAGAAGACAUACACUUACCAACCCUUCCCAGGUGUGAAACCCCAUGGAAAGACUGGCAUAUUUGCUACUUAAUGCAAUCUCCUCUUUACAACUAAUCCUCCGAGACAGGUUUCACAGGUGGAGAGUCACAACCUCUGAUUGACUUCAGUAUUUUUUAGUUGGUGUGCAGUAAUGGUACGUAUUUAUGGAAUUCAGAGUGAUAUUUUAUUACAUGUGUACAAUGUAUAGCAAUCAAAUCAGGGUAAUCAGUACAUCCUUUACCUCAAACAUUUAUAACUUCUUUGUGUUGUGAAUAUUCAAAGUCUUCUGUUCUAGCUUUUUGAAAAAUGUAAACUAUUAUCAACCAAAUUCACCCUUCAGUGUUACAGAACACUAGAACUCAUUCCUCCAAUCUAGCUACAAUUUUGUAUCUAUUAACCAACUUCUCCCUAUCCUCUCCUACCCUCACCCUUCCCAGCCUCUAAUAACCACAAUUCUAUUCCUUACUUCUAUGAGCUCAAGAUUUUUAAAAAUUC